AAUGUAAAAGCAAUACAGUCUGGAGAUAUUCUGGUAGAAGGGAAAUAAAAGAUACAUUCUCGGCGAAAGUUCAUGACUCUGAUGCCCAAAGCGCUGCUUAUAUGGAAAAGGAAUAUCCAUAUUUAUUUUCUUCGCAAAGAAGGAACCAGUAUCUGCAGGUCAAGUUUCUUGCGCCUUCAAGAAUCUUCUCGUUGAAAACUGCUGGUAACAAUGAUUUAAAUGACUGGGGUGGAAUAAGUCAGUUUUCUUUGUUUUAUCAAAAUGGUGCUGGCAAGUGGAGAUACUAUACAGAUAUGAAAGGCAACAAAAGGAUCUUCGAUACCGGAAGUAGAAACAGAGAAUCCGUGUUAGUUCCUGAAAGGUUUCUACUACCCAGACCGCUCGAUGCUCGAAUAAUACGCAUAUAUCCCCACAAAUGGACUGGUAAACCAUACCUAUUACUAGAUAUAAAAGCCUGCUACACAGAUGACCCUCUUCCAGGUUUUGAAAACUGCUCAAAGAGUAUUCUGUCAAAAGAUGGUUCCCUCCUCUCUGUCAUGUUUGAUGAUUUACCUGAGAGUGGACUGCUGAACAAUGCUGAGAAGUAUCACACUAUUGAAUUGGAGGAUGUCGAUGGGCCAGCUCUUGUUACGGGGAUCAAAGUUCGCCAGGCAAAUGACAAGGUCAAAGUAGACAAUAUUAUCAAGUCAUUUGUUUUACAGUUUAUGGAUAAUGAAUUAAAAUGGAAGAAUAUUGUGGAUGAUGAUGGGUUCGUCAAGAUUUUUAGUAUGCCUGCAAACAGUCAUCUUGAUGUGCCUUUAAGUUUUCGAUUUCCCAAUCCGGUAGAAACAGAAUAUAUGCGACUGUACCCUGAAUCAUGGACCGGAAACAACCCACGAUUAUUCAUCGACAUUUUAGGCUGUUUAAACAAAGAAUAAACAUUUUUUAGUUGUAUUGCUUUGACUAGAAGAGAAAUGUGAUUAAAUAAAUAUCCAUAUCUA